CGGUGUGAUGACCAAUGGGUCUGCUGAAGUGUGAUGACCCGUUGGAGCUCUGACC
rnacentral:ncRNA from 17 species